GCAUCGAUGAAGAACGCAGCGAAAUGCGAUAAGUAAUGUGAAUUGCAGAAUUCAGUGAAUCAUCGAAUCUUUGAACGCACCUUGCGCUCCAUGGUAUUCCGUGGAGCAUGCCUGUUUGAGUGUCAUGAAUACUUCAACCCUCCUCUUUCUUAAUGAUUGAAGAGGUGUUUGGUUUCUGAGCGCUGCUGGCCUUUACGGUCUAGCUCGUUCGUAAUGCAUUAGCAUCCGCAAUCGAACUUCGGAUUGACUUGGCGUAAUAGACUAUUCGCUGAGGAAUUCUAGUCUUCGGACUAGAGCCGGGUUGGGUUAAAGGAAGCUUCUAAUCAGAAUGUCUACAUUUUAAGAUUAGAUCUCAAAUCAGGUAGGACUACCCGCUGAACUUAAGCAUAUCAAUAAGCGGAGGA
rnacentral:rRNA from 1 species